rnacentral:lncRNA from 1 species
AUGGUUACUGGAAGUUGGAAUCAACUAGUUAAAUGGAAGGAUCCUAGAACUCCUUGUGAUGCAGACCCCUCAUCUCAGCCUGAAAAGGCAUCUACACCAUCAAUAUGUGAACCGUGGAAGCAGAAGUCCUCAGACAUCCUGCCAGGUGAGAGAGCCACAGAACACAACAGCCUUGGGGGAUACUUGGAUCAUGGGAACAGGUGGAGCACCUAUUGGCUGUGAGGUAACCAAUGGUGGGCCUUUAAUCCUUAAUCCACUGGUAGAACAUUGAAUGAAAUGAGGAUCACCUACUUUAAAAACAUAUUUUCAUUAAAUCUCCAUCAAGGUCUGCUCUCCUACCUAGAGUGCUGUACCUAGCUGGCUGAUGAAACAAUCAUUAAAUUAACCAAGGGGUGCCUGGGUGGCUCAGUCCAGCGUCUGACUCUUGAUCUUAGCUCAGAUCUUGAUCUCAGGGUUGCAAGUUCAAGCCCCAUGUAGGGCUCCGCGUUGGAGGUGGAGUUUACUUAAAAUACGUACAUGAAUAACUAAGCUAAGACCAGUAGUGGUUGGCCGUUCUUCCCUAUGGGGAUCAGUUUGUGGCAAGAGUCAUCAGUCUUUGGGACCCGGGUUAUUUAAGAGCAGGCAAACGUGCAGCAAAGUCUUGGGAGGCUUGGCCCUUCUCUCGCCUGCUGACUUCUUACCUUUCUUAUCCCAGUGCUUCCACGAUUGCUGUACCAUAAACAGCAAAUGAAAAGUGUGCCCCAAAUGGCAAAUAAAAGUCAGCAGAGUUUUACCCAGAGGGGGACAAAUCUUAAAAGAUGUUUCAGUUGAUAAAUAGUUUUUCCCACCUGAAAGGUGGUCUUGAGUACGUAGCAAAUGUGCAGAUUUUACCCCAGAGAUCAUAAAAACAAAGUAGUGGAAAAAUGAAAAUUCCAUUUUAGCAAAGAUGAUCAUGUUAGAGUACCUGGGUGGCUCAGUCACUGAAGCGUCUGACUCUUGAUUUGGGCUCAAGUCCUGUCUAGGGGCGAUGAGAUCGAGCCCCAUACCAGGCUCUGCACUGUGUGUGGAGCCUGCUUGGGAUUCUCUCCCUCCCCUUCCUCUGGCCUUGCUCCCCUCCCCUCCAACCACACCUCACUUGCACUCUCUCUUUCUCUCUCUCAAGAAAAAAAAAAAAAAAGAUAAUCACAUUGAUGGUUAAAUAAAUCGAAUAAUCAGGUUGUAAAUCUGUGGAGUUUUUUGUGUUCUUUAAAAAGACAGGGUGCCUUCGAAGAGAAUUCCUACUAACUUUUAUGAGCAUUUAAUACUAAAAGGAACUAAAAUGGAACACCACUGCUGGAACACUACGUAACCAGAUGGAACUAGUCGGUUCUAAUGGAUCUAUGCUCUCAUGAGAAGCAUCCCGAACGGCUGUGCUGUGCUGGUGGUCCCUACUGGUGGAAGAGCUCCUUUACUCCAGGCUCUCCCACUCCUGUGGCUGCAUAAACACACACAGCCACCUUGGUGGGAAUAAGCAAUGCACAUGCCAGGGUCAAAGUGGGGAGGAGAGAGUCAACCACAAAAAGGGGCAGGAGGUAAGAGCGGUAUUUAUUAUUUGUCGGGCUCCAGGGAAAUCAUUGGAAAUAAAACUCCCUACCCCAGCAAGGCUCUCAUAGGGAAGGGAUCUCUAAGGCCUGCCCCGACCUCCUGAAAGCAUCCCUUACUUGGCGCUUUCCAUUUGCCUCAGAGCCACGUACAUAUGUGCAGGGGGAAUGUUUUCCAUCCUCUUGGAACAUUGGUGAUAGCUGAGGUCAUUGUGUGGUUAAGUACUGAUCGGAGCUGGCAGUCCUAGGAUGCUAGCUUUUUAAAAAUGGAACAGAAAACUCCAUUAUUUGGAAGCAGUAAAUAUACUUGAGCAACACUGUUCUCCCUGGUGAGUUUCUCCGGAAGUGAACAGGCCUGGGACCCGUGUUCCAGUGGAAAUGGUGGCCCACAGUCAGGGCGAUUCAAGAUCAGGAUCAGAUCACUGCUGUUUGGAAACUGUGCCCCACACCUGCUCGGGAAGGGCUUCCAGAUAUCCUGGCACAUGAAAAACACUUUAACAAAUGCAUUUUACUUCUCAUCCAUGUUACUCAAUCUUUCAUUAACUUCAUAAACACUGCCCUCCCCCCAUAUGAUCUUAAUACUCUCUACUAGGGAUGAAAAAAUACAUCAUCAUAGCAGUUGGUAUCAGAAUCCUUUUAGGAGACACAGGACGUUCCUCUGAGCCCCCACAGCACUUAGCCUAUACUUUAUAAGAUUGGUUGUUUUUUUUUUUAAUGCGGUAAAAUGUACAAUUAUAACUGUUUUUAAACGUGCAGUUUAGUGGCAUUAAGUACAUUGUUAUGUAGCCAUCAUCCAACUCCAGAACUUUUUUCAAACUCUAUACUUAUUAAAAAUAACUCCCCAGUCCCUGCUCCCCCCCAGGUCACUGGCAACCACUAUUCUACUUUCUAUCUUUGUGAAUUUGACUUCUCUAGGUGCCGCAGAUAAGUGGAAUCAUACAGUAUUUAUUUUAAAAUAUUUAUUUAUUUUUGAGAGAGGUAGGGGGAGGGACAGAGGGAGAAGGAGAGAGAGAGUCCUCAAGCAGACUCCCUGCUGAGCACAGAGC